rnacentral:lncRNA from 12 species
CCUUGUCUGCUCUCUCAUUGAUACACAACUCCCUCUCUCCCUUUCAGUCGUUCUCUUUCCAGAGUGAGUGCACAGGCACGCUCUCUUUCGCACACAAACACUACUUGCCUCUCUGUAUUUCUCUUUACUAGUUAUGAAGCACAAACAGGAACUUGCUGCAGCUGUCACUAACGCUCUGCUGUCAUCUACUUCUCUCGCAUCAGGAGACGGAUACUCCCGAGCCGCUGAAGACACAGUGGAUUUUAUUUGUUUUUGAAGGGAUGCCUCUAUGUUUGCGUGAAUCAUUCGUGGUCCAGCUUCACCAACAGAAGUGAGUAUAAGGUUUUUUCAUGAAUCUUUGCAAAUCGCCUUUCCUAAUAUUGUGCUAAUUAGCAAGUUUCAUGAUGAAUAGAGCUAAAGUAAACAGUCCCUCAGAGAGCAGCUGGAAGAGAGGGGCGGGGUCAGCAGAGCUCAUUUGCAUUUAAAGGAAAAUGCUACAAAUUGGCUGAAAAGAGCUGUUUUUGACAGGGUAAAAAGGGCGUUGUUUUACACUACCAUUGAGAAAUUUUAACCAAACUAUAUUACAGACUUUUCAUUAAGACCGUAAAGAAUAUAUCAACUUGUGUAAAAUGGGCAUCCAAUAACCCCUUUAAAAGAGCAUUGAUGCUAUAUAUAAAGCUAAGUAGAUGUUUUAUCAGUGUCCGAAUCUGGCUAAUAGGAUUCUUAAAAUCAUGAAAUAGCUUUUUUUCUGUCUUUUUUAUGUUGCUAGUAAAUUUAAUAAUUAGUUAAUAAAAAUAAUAAUAAAAAAUAAUUAAUUUAAAAUUAAGUAGGAUAAUCAAUGUAUUUAGAGAGUUUCAAGGCAUUCUAUUUUUAGUUUCUUUAAGGAUUCAAAUAAUUUUUUUAAAUUUCACAAAACUUGAAGCAAAUUUAACAAGUCUGUGUGAAUAAAACUAACCUAUAAAUUUCUCUAGAUUAGAACAUCACUCUACAGUAGCCUACUCUAGGUAAAAAUGUUAAUGGUCAAUUGAUACGACAAUUUAAAUUUAACGUAGGUGGGGAUAAGAUGUCCAGAUGUUGUCUUGAGUACGAUGAUACUGGAAUAUUUAUUUUAUCUCCUUAAUUUCUCAAUGCUGUGCAUGCUAUAUUGUCCAAACAGCUUUUCUCCGUAUUGAAGCAUAUUUUUUAUUUGUGUUUCAGAUAAAUGAAUAUAUUAAAACUAUAAUAUUAUAUAUAAACUAUUAAAUAAACUACAAUUUGUGAAGAA